rnacentral:rRNA from 1 species
GUCGAACGAUGAAGCUCUAGCUUGCUAGAGUGGAUUAGUGGCGCACGGGUGAGUUAUGCAUAGAUAACAUGCCCUUUAGUCUAGGAUAGCCAUUGGAAACGAUGAUUAAUACUGGAUACUCCUUACGAGGGAAAGUUUUUCGCUAAAGGAUUGGUCUAUGUCCUAUCAGCUUGUUGGUGAGGUAAUGGCUCACCAAGGCUAUGACGGGUAUCCGGCCUGAGAGGGUGAACGGACACACUGGAACUGAGACACGGUCCAGACUCCUACGGGAGGCAGCAGUAGGGAAUAUUGCUCAAUGGGGGAAACCCUGAAGCAGCAACGCCGCGUGGAGGAUGAAGGUUUUCGGAUUGUAAACUCCUUUUGUUAGAGAAGAUAAUGACGGUAUCUAACGAAUAAGCACCGGCUAACUCCGUGCCAGCAGCCGCGGUAAUACGGAGGGUGCAAGCGUUACUCGGAAUCACUGGGCGUAAAGAGCGCGUAGGCGGGAUAGCAAGUCAGAUGUGAAAUCCUAUGGCUUAACCAUAGAACUGCAUUUGAAACUGUUAUUCUAGAGUAUGGGAGAGGUAGGUGGAAUUCUUGGUGUAGGGGUAAAAUCCGUANAGAUCAAGAGGAAUACUCAUUGCGAAGNCGACCUGCUAGAACAUAACUGACGCUGACGCGCGAAAGCGUGGGGAGCAAACAGGAUUAGAUUACCCUGGUAGUCCACGCCCUAAACG